GAACGAGAUCCUUCGGGGUCUAGUGGCGAACGGGUGAGUAACACGUGAGCAACCUGCCCCUGGCUCUGGGAUAGCCUCCGGAAACGGGGAUUAAUACCGGACAUGACCUGCUUCCGCAUGGGAGCGGGUGGAAAGUUUUUCGGCCAGGGAGGGGCUCGCGGCCUAUCAGCUUGUUGGGGGGGUAACGGCCCACCAAGGCGACGACGGGUAGCCGGCCUGAGAGGGCGACCGGCCACACUGGGACUGAGACACGGCCCAGACUCCUACGGGAGGCAGCAGUGGGGAAUAUUGCACAAUGGGCGGAAGCCUGAUGCAGCGACGCCGCGUGCGGGAUGAAGGCCUUCGGGUUGUAAACCGCUUUCAGCAGGGGCGAACACAGGACGGUACCUGCAGAAGAAGCGCCGGCUAACUACGUGCCAGCAGCCGCGGUAAU
rnacentral:rRNA from 1 species